GGCUCAAACUUGUAUAUAACUAUUGAACAUUUCUGAGGAGGAAGAGGAAGUGAGAAAAGUGAACAUCCAGCUCAAAGAGGAGACAGAGGGCGACAUCAUCCAGUAGGCGGUGCUCUCCUUCUGCACUGUGUUCAACCAUUGUGUCAAUAAUAAGUGCUGCUGUGAAGAGAACAAUUCUCAGACUGAAUGUUGAACAUCAGCUAGUUUCUCCUGUUGAUUGAAACCUUGUUGUACAGAUGGAACAUUGGCUGUGGAUUAUUCUUGCUGCUCUUUUCUUUGAGUGUAAAGGAGAAGACAAAGUGAUCCAGGAACAAGGAGAUGUCAUUGCUGCUGAAGGAGACACAGUUACACUUGGAUGUCAGUAUGAGAGCAGUGGAACAAAUAAUAAUCUCUUCUGGUACAAACAGGAUGGAAACAACAGCCCCAAAUUCAUCCUGAGUCGUGUUAGUGGGGAUGAUGGAAACACAGCAGCCGAGUUCAAGGAGAGAUUUUCAUCCACACUGGAUUCCAGCAUCAGAUCAGUUCCUCUGAAGAUCCAGAAGCUUCAGCUGUCUGACUCUGCUGUUUACUACUGUGCUGUGAGGCCCACAGUGACAGGAAACACCAAAACUCUGUACAAAAACCUUUGGAGCAAAGACAACAGAAUACUCCACAACAUCCACUAGAGGGAGCCACACACUGUUAAACUCUGGUUUGUCGACGCGUUCUCACUCCCUAAGCGUAAUAUUUUACGCUAUGUGACAAAUCGUCAACAUUUUACGCUUUCGGGUACCCAACACGUUCCUACAUGACGAGAUCGGAAAAAUGAGAAAACAUGAGAACCGUUGGGACUCUAUCUACACAUGUUCGUUCAUUUUCUUCAAAUCGCUUUACAAAACACUAUUUCAUGCCAUUUCUGUGCUGGUUAAGGUUAGAAAUAGGGUUAGGGUUAGGGUUAGGGAUAAGGUUAGGUUUAGGGCUGGAAUACAUGGCUGGAACGUAUAUUACCACGGAACCGUCAUACCACUGGAAUUCAGCCAUAACCCGGGGCGUACCAUCAGAACGCAGAAGGUCACCUUUCGCGUUCCUCACGAACGCCGCGGGACGUGACAAAACGUCGCCAUGCUACGCCCCGGGAGUGAGAACGCUCUGGGUUUGUUUGGUUGAAUGAAUAAAAUGUCUUUUGCAUAAAAACAGAAACUAUAAUUCACUUCUUAAAGGAGAGAUUUCUCACAUAAAUGAAUCAUCCACCGUUGUUGUCCUCUCUCUUCACUGC